rnacentral:lncRNA from 1 species
GUGUAUUUUUCUGGGCUCGUUCUUAUAAAAACACAAGUGAUUUUUAUCGGAAGCGUUUGUUUAGCGUUUGUGUAAUUUCUCACUUCUCUCAGGAAAUACCCAAACGAUCUCCAACAAAGGAAAGGGGAGGAAGUGUGGUUGACGUCACCCGUCUGGCAGCUGGCAACAGGCAUGACUGCGUAGGUUUGCUCACACGCUGAUUGGUCGUUGAACUCAAACUCGACAGCUGAUUGGUUGGAUUUCGUCGAGGACUGACUACUUAUCAGUUCUGUAGAGUCCAUUUUGUUGCAAUCUAGUGUCGGGAGGAGAAGUGGCGGUUCUACGCCUGUUGUUAACACCACCGUAGCCUCGAUGGUGAUGGAUUUGUAGGAAAAAUAGCUCGCUGUGCUUCCUACAACGUCCGCCGAAGGAUUUCAGAGGCUAACCUUGUAUAUUUUUUUGACAAAAGGCUUCAACAACCAAGCCUUAAGAAGAAGUCGGAGGUCGACUUCGCGGAGCUUCGUGUGCCGAGGUGAAUUGAUGUUCAGCUCGGCUCCACGGGAAAACAUCGCUCAUUGGCACAUGAAAACCUCAGACCUUGCUGGACCUAAAAGUGCAGCGAGAAGUAGACAGAAAACUACUUCGAGGACCUGGGGACCGACUGGUGGAGAGAGAUUAAAGAAGGAUCUCUGCUUCGUCAACAUACUACCAACAAAGAGGUGACACCUAGUACA